GAUGAACGCUAGCUACAGGCUUAACACAUGCAAGUCGAGGGGCAGCGGGAUUGAAGCUUGCUUCAAUUGCCGGCGACCGGCGCACGGGUGAGUAACGCGUAUCCAAACCUUCCGUACACUCAGGGAUAGCCUUUCGAAAGAAAGAUUAAUACCUGAUGGUAUCUUAAGCACACAUGUAAUUAAGAUUAAAGAACUUCGGUCAUCGAUGGGGAUGCGUUCCAUUAGGUUGUUGGCGGGGUAACGGCCCACCAAGCCUUCGAUGGAUAGGGGUUCUGAGAGGAAGGUCCCCCCACAUUGGAACUGAGACACGGUCCAAACUCCUACGGGAGGCAGCAGUGAGGAAUAUUGGUCAAUGGACGAGAGUCUGAACCAGCCAAGUAGCGUGAAGGAUGACUGCCCUAUGGGUUGUAAACUUCUUUUAUACGGGAAUAAAGUGAGGCACGUGUGCCUUUUUGUAUGUACCGUAUGAAUAAGGAUCGGCUAACUCCGUG
rnacentral:rRNA from 1 species